UUGAAAACUUGUCUUUAUGCUCUCUGAUGGUCUUUGGUCUGUUGGCAUUUUUAAACAGAGCAUUACAGACAUUCCAAAUGCAAUUCCUCGUGUAUCCCUAAGUCUGCUUGGUGCAGUAGGUGGGGUCUGAGAAAGGAAUCUCCUCAAGCUUUGAAAGUUAAUGCAGUGAUCUUUCAAAUCAUUACUGAAACUCACUGCUAAAAUGUUCUGCAUUUCUUUCGAAAGUUGCAGGUUUAUACCAAUCCAUUGUUCAACUUCUUUUCUUGUUUUUAAUUGAUGUGGAAAAUCUGAAGUCAUAAAAUGCUGUGUGACUACAGGAUGACAGAAAAAUAUAGCAGGAACACCUCAGGCCAUAUUUUCAUCCCUUUCUUGAGGCUUAUAUGGAAAGGGCAGUCCUGGCUGAGGUCUGUGGCUGGAGGGAGCUGCCUGAAAAGCACCUGGAGAGCAAGAACUGGAGAAGGAUCCUCACAACAGAACCCCUGAGUGACCUCACCUUGUCUACCCAAAAGAUGGAGAGAAGGCACCACACAGAGUCUGGAGGUGAGUGAUCCACAGCCACUGCAGCUCCCACAGAGCUCAAAGCCACUGCUGCACUCCUGCCUUGUCCUGCAGCUGUCACAAGGCUCUGCAAGUCCCUGUGUUAUUGCAGCAAUGAAAUGCGUCAAUAAAAGAGAGACCUGGAUCCUCCCCGGUCA
rnacentral:lncRNA from 1 species